GAUGAAGAACGCAGCAAAAUGCGAUAAGUAAUGUGAAUUGCAGAAUUCAGUGAAUCAUCGAAUCUUUGAACGCACAUUGCGCCCGCCAGUAUUCUGGCGGGCAUGCCUGUUCGAGCGUCAUUUCAACCAUCAAGCCCCCGGCUUGUGUUGGGGACCUGCGGCUGCCGCAGGCCCUGAAAACCAGUGGCGGGCUCGCUAGUCACUCCGAGCGUAGUAGUUACAUCUCGCUCAGGGCGUGCUGCGGGUUCCGGCCGUUAAAAGCCUUAUUUACCCAAGGUUGACCUCGGAUCAGGUAGGAAGACCCGCUGAACUUAAGCAUAUCAAUAAGCGGAGGA
rnacentral:misc_RNA from 1 species